rnacentral:rRNA from 1 species
ACGGGGGGAGCAAGCGUUGUUCGGAUUUACUGGGCGUAAAGGGCGCGUAGGCGGUCAGCACAAGUCAGUUGUGAAAUCUCCGGGCUUAACUCGGAAAGGUCAACUGAUACUGUGCGACUAGAGUGCGGAAGGGGCAACUGGAAUUCUCGGUGUAGCGGUGAAAUGCGUAGAUAUCGAGAGGAACACCUGCGGCGAAGGCGGGUUGCUGGGCCGACACUGACGCUGAGGCGCGAAAGCCAGGGGAGCGAACGGGAUUAGAUACCCCGGUAGUCCUGGCCUUAAACGAUGGAUGCUUGGUGUCUGGGGUUUUAUAGUCCCCGGGUGCCGUAGCUAACGCGUUAAGCAUCCCGCCUGGGGAGUACGGUCGCAAGACUG